rnacentral:rRNA from 1 species
GAUGAACGCUAGCGGCAGGCUUAACACAUGCAAGUCGAGGGGUAGAGGUUGCUUGCAACCUUGAGACCGGCGCACGGGUGCGUAACGCGUAUGCAACCUACCUUUCACAGAGGGAUAGCCCAGAGAAAUUUGGAUUAAUACCUCAUAGUAUAUAGUCUUCGCAUGUUGACUAUAUUAAAGUUCCAACGGUAAAAGAUGGGCAUGCGUCCUAUUAGCUAGAUGGUAAGGUAACGGCUUACCAUGGCAACGAUAGGUAGGGGUCCUGAGAGGGAGAUCCCCCACACUGGUACUGAGACACGGACCAGACUCCUACGGGAGGCAGCAGUGAGGAAUAUUGGACAAUGGGCGCAAGCCUGAUCCAGCCAUGCCGCGUGCAGGAAGAAGCAUCUAUGGUGUGUAAACUGCUUUUGUACGGGAAGAAACACUCCGACGUGUCGGAGCUUGACGGUACCGUAAGAAUAAGGAUCGGCUAACUCCGUGCCAGCAGCCGCCGUAAUAC